rnacentral:lncRNA from 12 species
AACAUGGGUUGACGCCGUUGAUAUAAAAUCAGAGAAUACAGCUGUUAAAUUUGAUAAAAUGGACUCCCAACUGUCUUCGCUGACGAAGGCUGUUGUUGUGGCGGGGAACACUUCCGGUGUAACACAAGGCCGGUUCCGGGGAUACACGGAAGCAGCAAAAAUACGCUGGAAUAGAAGAUAAUGAGGGUAAUUGCUGGCAGCUGUGUGGGGGAAAAUAUGUAAGCAGGCGAUUGGACCAAGAGGGAAAUAAAAGAAGUUGAUGUUGGAGAAAAAGAGGAGAGCGGAGGAAGGAUUUGUGGGGAGGCAGCAGUGACACAGCGAGCAAGGAAUCGGAGGCAGAGAGAGAGACUGGAUUAAUUUGAGAUAAGUGUCUGGUUAUUCUGGUUCAUAGUUAUUCUAUGAAGAAGCACUGCGUUGACAUACUGUUGAAGUUCAUGACUCUCUGUGUAGUUGCUGAGGAUGGAUGUUUGGAAAUGACACAACAGCGAGAGCCCUGUUUUGUAUCAACGCAUGGAGAGAACAUCAGUUGAGGUUGUUGUGUGGGCCCGUACUCUGCUUUAAGGAUUUGAGUGAAGAGCCUGUUAAAGCUGUGAAGUGUACAUACCUCUCUCCAUUCUCUGUCGGAGUCCACCGAAGAACAUGCUGAAGCAGUGAAGUAUACGUACCCUCCAUUCUGUCUGAACCCAGUGAAGAGCCUGUUAACGGCGUGACCUAUAUGCACCUCCUUUCUCUCUGUCUGAGUUUAGUGAAAAGCCUGCAGAGUUACUGACGUGAGUUAUCUGCUGUUGUCGAUCUGCUACCAUUGUAGGACCCCGUGACAUAUGGAAUUGAGUAUCCACUGACUCGACCAUUCAUAUUGAAUCUGUGCUGAAGUACUGUAGAGUCACUGAAUUGGUGCUGAAACCCCACUGAGCCACGGAACGGAGACAGCCACUGAUGAUAUCCAGCCUGUGAACUCUAGGAACGGAGUUACCACCAAGCCGUCGCCAUCUGGUGCCGUAGCCAUUCGGGCUGUAUUCACCUUACUGUGUUGGUAGUGGAGGAGGGGAACUAGAGCCACACACACCAUCACUCAAUCUCUAGGGAGAAAGCUCGUACUGCUUUUAGAGACAUUUCUUUUAAAUAAAUUAAUAAACGUGUUAACUUUGAAUUCUUGUGGUCUGCCUUUUCUCUGGUACGGGGUAGCUCCUCAAGAAGGGUGGUAGUGGGGGUGUCGGCUGACAGGGAUUGCCUUCACACCCCCAGUCUG